UACGAAGGGGGCGAGCGUUGUUCGGAUUUACUGGGCGUAAAGGGUGCGUAGGCGGCGCGGUAAGUCGGGUGUGAAAUCUCGGAGCUUAACUCCGAAACUGCAUUCGAUACUGCCGUGCUUGAGGACUGGAGAGGAGACUGGAAUUUACGGUGUAGCGGUGAAAUGCGUAGAUAUCGUAAAGAAGACCAGUGGCGAAGGCGGGUCUCUGGACAGUUCCUGACGCUGAGGCACGAAGGUCAGGGGAGCAAACGGG
rnacentral:rRNA from 1 species